CCUACGGGAGGCAGCAGUGGGGAAUAUUGGACAAUGGGGGGAACCCUGAUCCAGCGACGCCGCGUGAGUGAAGAAGUAUUUCGGUAUGUAAAGCUCUAUCAGCAGGGAAGAAAGAAAUGACGGUACUUGACUAAGAAGCCUCGGCUAACUACGUGCAAGCAGCCGCGGUAAUACGGAGGGGGCAAGCGUUAUCCGGAUUUACUGGGUGUAAAGGGAGCGUAGACGGGGAUGCAAGUCUGAAGUGAAAGGCGGGGGCCCAACCCCCGGACUGCUUUGGAAACUGUAUGGCUUGAGUGCAGGAGAGGUAAGUGGAAUUCCUAGUGUAGCGGUGAAAUGCUUAGAUAUUAGGAGGAACACCAGUGGCGAAGGCGGCUUACUGAACUGUAACUGACAUUGAGGCUCGAAAGCGUGGGGAGCAAACAGGAUUAGAUACCCUGGUAGUC
rnacentral:rRNA from 1 species